UACGUAGGCAGCGAGCGUUGUUCGGAGUUACUGGGCGUAAAGAGUGCGUAGGCGGUUUUCUAAGUUUGGUGUGAAAUCUCCCGGCUUAACUGGGAGGGUGCGCCGAAGACUGGAAGGCUUGAGUAUGGGAGAGGUAAGCGGAAUUCCUGGUGUAGCGGUGAAAUGCGUAGAUAUCAGGAGGAACACCUGCGGUGUAGACGGCUUACUGGACCAUAACUGACGCUGAGGGACGAAAGCUAGGGGAGCGAAAGGG
rnacentral:rRNA from 1 species